GACGAACGCUGGCGGCGUGCUUAACACAUGCAAGUCGAACGGAAAGGCCCUGCUUUUGUGGGGUGCUCGAGUGGCGAACGGGUGAGUAACACGUGAGUAACCUGCCCUUGACUUUGGGAUAACUUCAGGAAACUGGGGCUAAUACCGGAUAGGAGCUCCUGCUGCAUGGUGGGGGUUGGAAAGUUUCGGCGGUUGGGGAUGGACUCGCGGCUUAUCAGCUUGUUGGUGGGGUAGUGGCUUACCAAGGCAUUGACGGGUAGCCGGCCUGAGAGGGUGACCGGCCACAUUGGGACUGAGAUACGGCCCAGACUCCUACGGGAGGCAGCAGUGGGGAAUAUUGCACAAUGGGCGGAAGCCUGAUGCGGCAACGCCGCGUGCGGGAUGACGGCCUUCGGGUUGUAAACCGCUUUCGCCUGUGACGAAGCGUGAGUGGCGGUAAUGGGUAAAGAAGCACCGGCUAACUACGUG
rnacentral:rRNA from 1 species